rnacentral:lncRNA from 1 species
UAGACAGGGUGGAUCUGCUGGACAGGCAGAUAGUAUAGACAGGGUGUAUUUGUUGGCCAGGAAGGUAGUGUAGAUAGCGUGGAGAUAAUGGCCAGGCAGGUAGUGUAGACAGGGUGGAUCUGCUGGGCAGGCAGGUAGUGUAGACAGGGUGGACCUGCUGUACAGGCAGGUCAUAUAGACAGCGUGGAUUCGCUGGACAGGCAGGUAGUGUAGAUAGCGUGGAUCUACUGGCCAGGCCGGUAGUAUAGAUAGGUUGAAUCUCCUGGGCCGCCAGGUAGUGUAGACAGGGUAGAUCUGCUGGAUAGGCAGGUAGUAUAGACAGGGUGGAUCUGCUGGACGGGCAGGUAUUGUAUAUAGGGUGGAUCUGCUGUACGGGCAGCUGGUGUAGACAGGGUGGACCUGCUGGACAAACAGGUAGUGUAGACAGGGUGGUUCUGCUGGCCAGGCAGGUAAUGUAGAUAGCAUGGAUGUAUUGGCCAGGUAGAUAGUGUAGACAGGGCGGAUCUGCUGGUCAGGUAGGUAGUGUAGACAGGGCGGAUUUGCUGGCCAGGCAUAUAGUGUAGAUAGGGUGGAUCUACUGGCCAGGCAGGUAUUGUAGACAGAGUGGAUGUGUUGGAGAGGCAGGUAGUAUAGACAGGGCGUGUCUGCUGGUCAGACAGGUGGUAGUGUAGAUAGUGUGGAUCUACUGGCCAGGUAGGGAGUAUAGACAGGACGUCUCCGCUGGGCAGGCAGGUAGUGUAGACAGGGUCGACCUGCUUGACAGGCAGGUAGUAUAGACGGGGUGAAUCUGCUCGAUAGGCAGAUAGUAUAGAGUGGUUGGAUCUGCUGGACAGGAAGGUAGCUUAGAUAGCAUGGGUCUACUGGCCAGUCAGGUAGUGUUGACAGGGCGGAUCUGCUUUGCAGGCAGGUAGUGUAGACAGGGUGGACCUGCUGGACAAGCAGGUAGUUUAGACAGGGUGGAUCUGCUGGCCAGGCAGGCAGUGUAGAUAGCGUGGAUCUACUGUCCAGGCAGGUAGUAUAGACAGGGUGGACCUGCUGGCCAGGCAGGUAGUAUUGACAGGGUGGAUCUGCUGGGCAGGCAGGUAGUGUAGAUAGGGUGGAUCUACUGGCCAGGCAGAUAGUGUAGACAGGGGGGAUC